ACAGGAAGAGAAAGGGGCAAGAAGAAUGAAGGAGUGCAAGGUAAUUCUGAAGGAAUAUAUCCAGUCUAACCUAUAAUCCAGUUUAAAUGAAAGAUCUAACCCAUUUCAUUUCUCUCUUCUAUGCUCGGGGAAUAAGGUCAGAGUAACCUUCUUAAACUGCUAAGAGGGAUGGUUGGAAAACUAGCUGAACCCUGAGAAAGGCCCCGCUAGCCCCCCCAUGACUGGGAGGACUAUCCCUGGCUGAGGGCGUCUCUACAGCCUCCCCUUGUGAGAGGGACUCUAGAGAGCAGGAGGAGGAGCUGUUCUCCUUGGCCUCUGUUACUAUGGCAACCUUCCCCUUUGUUUCCCUGGAUCCUUAGCUCCUGCCUCAUUUAGCGACUGGCAUUCAGGUGAGGCAGCUGCAUGAUGGCAUUAGGAAAAUGAGGAAGUGGAAAAACGAAACUGCUUGAACAAACACACAUGCACACAUCACGGCACCAAGAAGGCACUGUUAAGAUGAGUUUCCAGACUUCUAUCCACUUUUUUUUUUUGGGGGGGGGGAGCCAAUCAGCAUCCUUAAUUGCACUUACUGUUAAAUAACAUGUUUGGGGAAUGUUCACUUUACUCUAGCUAUCAUUUGGAUGGCUGCUUUAUUACACAUUCUUCCGUUGCCUACAAUACUUGGCCCUUCUUACUCCACUGAGGGGUCUCACUGCAAAGGUCACUUUCCCAGAGAGACUUUCCUUGACCACCCCCCUCACUAUCCCAUCUGCUUCCCUCAUAGCACAAUUCAUAACCAUCUCAGCCAUUGUCUUGUGUUUACCAGUUUUUGCUCUGUCUCCCCAGCUAGAUCACAAGCUUCCUGAGGGCAAGGAUGCUGGUAUUCUUGCACAAAGCAAUAUCGAAUGAAAUGUGUCAUGUAAGCAGCAACAAUGAAUAUUUGUGGGAAAAAAUGAAUAAUGUGAUAAUUUUGAAAAUGUGAUUUAGCAUGCUGAGAUACCAAACACUGGUCUAGUAGCUGAGAGUCUCUCUCUUUCCCAAUUCUCUUCUCUCUCAAAUGAAAAAUUCAGAGGGUUUUCAGGUUAGUGAACAUGUGGAGAUGCUGGGAGGGUGAUGGGCCUGGAAAGGACAUGGAAGUCCAUUUCCUCAUAUUUUGACCUACGUAUCUCUUUCAUCUGGCUAGUUCUGAGUUUAUUACCUUGUUUCCCAUUCUUUGGAGACAGGUCUUCUCUCCUCCACAGACAGAUCUGACUCAACUCAUGUAGGGCAUGAGGGGACCACAUCUCCUCUUUGUUCCAAAGAUGGGUGAUUGAGGUCACACCAAAUACAGCUUUCUUUCCCUCUGGCCAUUGUGAAUAUAUUUCAAUGGACACAUGAGUUGUCCCUUAGACUUCUCUAUCAAGAGGGACUCUAAGAAAAUAAUUUGUAAGGCCCAAACCCAGGAAUCAAUAAAAAUACUAUUAAUAAGUCAUCAAACCUAUAGAACUGUGGUUCUCAACCAGGCAUAUCCAGAAGGUUUUUGUUUUUGUUUUAAGCACUCAUCUGGUCUACUCCCAAUAAAUCAAAGUAAUCAGUUAUUCAAGAAGACUCUGGCAUAUCUCUUUAAUGAAGCAGCUGUUUUAUAGAAAUGCUAGAUUCUUUUGGGUAAUUAAACUAUGCUUUUACACUUUAUACAGAUCCCCAAAAAUGAGUAUGUAGAAUAAAAUUAGAGAUUGACUCAUUCAGCUAUUUAAUCGCUUAAAAGGUAUUUCUUAAAGUAAACAUUUCUAUCACAAAGCUGUAAGUUUGGGAGCAGAUUAAGAAUGAUAGGAAAUAAUCAUAUUACCCAGAAUGCUUUUGGCUGCAAGUGACAGAAAACCCAAGUCAAGAGGUAAAGUUAAAAGGGCAGGGUUGAUUAGUUCAUGUAUUUGGGAAGGUUGCCCUUUAGGACAAGCUGGUCAAUGGCAUCUGGGUUCUCUCAUUUCCUCCAUUUGGGGUCUGCUGACUUAUGCUUCGAUACAUUCUUCCACACAAUCGAGUAAAUGACCUCACACCCCCUUUUUCCCCAGGAUUUGCUGUUGAAGCUUAUCAACUCCAGGGGAAAAAGAAUUUCUCCUCCACACUGUCUACUUGUCAAUUCCAGAGAAGACUCUAAACAGCUGAACUAGUUGGGAGUUCAUUCCUGGACCAAGAAGAGUAACAGAGAUAAUGAGUCCUAUUAUGAGGGACUUAUUCUCAGUCAAUUUCAUAGAGUGGACAAUCGUAAUUAAAAGCCUCAUUAGAGGGAGUUUCCCACUGUGGCUCAGCCGGUUAAGAGUCUGACUAGUAUCCAUGAAGAUGCAGGUUCGAUCCCUGGCCUCAUUCAGUGGGUUAAAGGAUCUGGUGGUGCCACAAGCUGCAGUGUAGCUCCCAGAGGUGGCUCAGAUUGGGCAUUGCUUAAACUGUGGCAAAGACUAGCAGCUGCAGCUGCAAUUCGACCCCUAGCCCGGGAAGCUCCACAUGCUGCAGGUGUGGCCCUCAAAAGAAAAAAGAAAAGUCUCACUAGAAUACCUGCCCAAGGAAAAAGAUGUCAGUCCUGCUCCCACCUUAACCUUGCAAUGGGAUGACAGAUAAAAUCAACAUACGAUUACUACAGCCAUGCCUACAAUGAGCUCACAUGGAAAACCUUCCCUCAGUUUUCAUUCUCUAUGGCCUGUCAGUGACUUUCUAAAUGUCUGAAGUCAAUAAAAAAAAAAAAAAGUGAAUUUGAUACUAACCGACAAGAGUAAAAUCUUACUGCUCCAGUGCCCAGGCCUAGAGGGCUGCCUAGAAGAGCUCAGAUCCACACAAGCCUUCCUCAGUUAGAAGCGAAUCUUAAAGAGCAGCAAAUCUGAACGUUCCAUACCACUGAGAUUUGUAAAAAUUCUCUCCUCCAUGCUAGUGAAUUCAGUCUUCCUAAAGGUGAACUGAGUCCAAGAAAACAGUGGUAUUUGACUAUAUCUCAUGUGAUUUCUGCUAAAAGCCAAUCUAAAACUCUUCAGUGACACCUAGAUUUGGAGACUGGGAAAUCUGCUGUGAAAAAAUGCCAAAUGUUGCUUUCCAAACCAGUUCACCAAUGGAAAGAACACAAUUCAUACAAAUAGCUGCAUUUACAGGAAGAUUUUCAGCCAAAGAGCUUUGCAAAAUGAACUUUACAAAUUAAUUCUGUUGGGAUGAUACUUGCUUUAAACAACCUCUCCCCCUCCACACUCCACAACCACUAUACAUACAUUGGGAACCUGCCGGAAACGCACAUGGCAAGAGUUCUAAAUGUACCAGGACUGGGAAUAAAGAAUAUGCUUGAAACUGUGGGAAGAAUUUUAAUAUCCCAGAGUGUCAGGAAACAGAACCACUCUAACUGACUGGCUAUGUUAGGCUCCAGAGUUGAACUUAUGGACUUGCUGGCAAAUUAUGCAGACAAUGAAGGAAGAGGAACUCUUUAAUAAGUGACUGAGUCCACCAGAAUACAUAACAUUCUUGCUGAGUGCCCUUUGAUUGCAGCAUGGAUUAUGUAUUCAGGUGACAGCAAACCCAUGCCCAUCAUAUUUGAGUGAAAUUUAUCAAACAACAAUGUAUUAAGGAAUGAAGGUUUUAAAUCAGACUCAAUCUAGCCAGAAUGAAAUCUAAACUAAGGGCUUGAACCAAAUCCAUAAGGUAAACCCAAAUUAACUCAAGGUAUUUUGAACUCCAACAUUUAAUUUUACAAAUAAACCAAAACUUUUCACUCUUUUUAUUUUGAAAGAAGUAUUUUAUACUCUUCUCCAAAGAAAUUAUGGAUUUUCUUUGUGACUUUAAACAGUAGAGUAAAACAGCACAACCACCGCUUAAGGGAGACAUUUUGGUUCAUUUUUUCAUCAUAUAUUUAUUGAUUACCUAAUACGUACAAUCCUUUCUGUGUUCAGGAUAUAGUGGUAAAUUUAGUCGAUUAUGUUGCUGGCCUCAUGAAUCUCAAAUUCUAAUGGAGAGAAAGACACAUACUCAAACCUAAAAAACAAAUAUAUGCAUGCAAAAAAUAUUCUAACAUUAAGUUCUCCUAAAGCAGGGAUUGGUAAACCAUAGUCCACAGGCUGUUCCUGUAAAGUUUUAUUACAACACUGUUUACACAUCCUCUGUGUGUCAACUUAAAAAAGCACAACAUGAGAAUUAUGAGUUUAGUUUUUUUCAGAGUCUUACUGACAACUAGAGCCUGGGAGACAACUCUGAGGAACUGUUUUGAAGAGGAAGGAGAGGAAUCAGUAUAUAACAAAUUUUUUUACUAGGAAAUACUUGUAGCCAAGCAUAAAUCCUGGCAAAAGAUAAUGACUAAUCACAGAGAAUAUAUCUCAAGUUAAUAAUGUGCAUGCUCUUCUAUGUAUGUAAAGAUGCAACAGUCUGGGAUCACUGAGAUUCUUCCUGAGAUAUGCAUCCAACUAUCUAGGGGCCCUUUGAUCUAGACAACUUUAUCCUGUUUUUUUCAUUCUGAAUUCCUCUCAGGGCACACUGUUGAUAGGGGACUGCAGGGGGGUGGGGGUUGACUUAACACUUGUAUAAUUGUUGAUGAUCCAAGCAAGCUCUUUUGUUCUUUUUUGUUUCACAUGUGGCUGCUUUUGUGCUAUGGUGGAAUGCUAAGUAGUUGGGGCAUACAUCUACUUUAUGGAGUAGUUGCUCGAUACAUUCUAAAAUAUUUGCUGUCUGACUGAGCCUUUACAGAAAAAGGUUGCUGGCUCUAUGAAAAAACAAAAAGGAUGAUAGAUGACACAUGCCUGGGGUGGGGAGUUGAAUAUAAGGUCUGGCAAGGACCUCCUAAAGCAGUGACAUUUGAGUUGAGAUCUGAGUAGUAAGAAAAAGCCAGCCAUGGGAAACAAAGUGUGGUAGACAAAUAGAACAGUAUGGUAACUUUGGUUGGUUUUGUUUCGCUUUGUUAUAGCAAAGUAUUGCUUUAAAGGUGAAGAACAAAUUACUACUGGGCUAUUACAAUAAGAAAACCUCACAAGGUAAAAGAAAAACCACAGAAACUUUCAGCUUGUUCCUUGCGCAAAGUGAUAAAAGCAUUUUCAAGUUCUCUCUGUAUUCUCGUUCAAAAGAGGGAGUAAGUUCCAACUAGCUCAAUGAGCAACUCUACAAAGAUGGAAAGUACUGGUGGAAGACUGCCUUGAUUUUUUGGGUUAAAGGCUAGAGCUAAAUCCUUACUUUCUUUAAGGCAGUCUUUCUCCUGCUUCCUCUUAUCUCCAAUUAUGAUUUCUCUCACCUUCAUGUCUUUGUGCUGAUACAACGCAUUUGCUUAGAAUAUUGCUGGGGAUAUCUUUUUCCAGAAAAGGUAUUCCAAUAUCAUUUGGGGAGAAGCAGAAGAACCAAGAUCAGUGGCUGUAUGGGAAUAAGAGAAUGUGGGAAUCCAGAACAUGUACUGGAAAGCUCUUGUUUAUUUCCACCCAUACUGUAGGGGGCCAAUGCUGUAAAAGUGGACGUAUUGCUGGCUGGAGAGUAUUGUUCCUCUUCUAUAAUGUUCCAUGGCUCCAGGUGGGCCACUUCUCAAUAAAGGUUAAAAAGCCAACUUCACCUUUUUUGGUGUUAUCUUAUACCAAUUUCCCUUUAACUCUCAAUUCUCAUACAGUAUUUGAAACCAUUUUGGGUGGAAAACUGCACUCAGCAAGCAUGUCCUUGCCUCUCUUAGGAACCUCAUGCUCCAGUUUCAGAUAUUUUCAUGAUACUUGUGGAGGCCUUGGAUGGAUAAAUUAAAUCUGCUUUUCUCCUGAUUGCCUUACUGGCCCUUUUUGUAACUUCACUUUGUAUUCCUUUCUGUUCAAUACUUUUCAAAGUACUGAGAGUUUAAAGAGGUACAAUAAAUCCCAGAUCAGUUUUUAAUGACCACGGUAAGCCUGCUUGUAAUAUGUCAGUAAGCUGAACCUAAAAGCCAAUGGGGAAUAGGCCAUUUCUGCCUUAGUAAUUGCCUCCACAGAAAGAUUUAUAAUGUCAUUAUCUGAAUCUACAAGAAAUAACUCAUAGAGCUGAAAUACCCUAAAAAAAUAUUACAAUUCUCUUAAAAUCUAGUCAUUCAUAAAUGCUAAAUCAUAAAACUUUUUUCAAGAUGUUUUAUGUUAAAAGUAAAACCCAGUAAAAAUAUAAAUGCUAGUUUCUUAAUCAGAUUCCUCAUUCUUUAUGUAUCUGUUUGUAGCUUUGCAGUUUUCUGGGACAUAUUUACAAACCUAACAUUAGGCUGCCAGAAUCCCCAACUGCUCUGAGAAACCAUGGUGUCUGAAAAGGCAUUUCUCGUCACCUUUUUAUCUCUGUGUGAUAGCAGGGAGUGAGAAGGAAGAGGGUUAGUUAGUAUGGCAAUAAAAUUAAUUUCAGCAAUAAAAGUCACCUUUUCCCCUUAAUUUCU
rnacentral:lncRNA from 1 species